rnacentral:rRNA from 1 species
AUUGAACGCUGGCGGCAGGCCUAACACAUGCAAGUCGAGCGGAUGAGAGGAGCUUGCUCCUCGAUUCAGCGGCGGACGGGUGAGUAAUGCCUAGGAAUCUGCCUAGUAGUGGGGGACAACGUUUCGAAAGGAACGCUAAUACCGCAUACGUCCUACGGGAGAAAGUGGGGGAUCUUCGGACCUCACGCUAGUAGAUGAGCCUAGGUCGGAUUCGCUAGUUGGUAGGGUAAAGGCAUACCAAGGCGACGAUCCGUAACUGGUCUGAGAGGAUGAGCAGUCACGCUGGAACUGGGACACGGUCCAGACGCCUACGGGAGGGAGCAGUGGGGAAUAUUGUACAAUGGGCGAAAGCCUGAUCCAGCCAUGCCGCGUGUGUGCAGAAGGCCUUCGGGUCGUAAAGCACUUUAAGUUGGGAGCAAGGGCUCAUAGCGAAUACCUGUGAGUUUUGACGUUACCAACAGAAGAAGCACCGGCUAACUUCGUGCCAGCAGCCGCGGUAA